CAGAGGGUGCGAGCGUUGUUCGGAAUUACUGGGCGUAAAGCGCGCGCAGGCGGCCCUUUAAGUCUGUCGGUCAAAUGCCGGGGCUCAACCCCGGGCGUGCCGAGGAUACUGGAGGGCUGGAGACACGUAGAGGCAAGCGGAAUUCCGGGUGUAGCGGUGGAAUGCGUAGAGAUCCGGAAGAACACCGGAGGCGAAGGCGGCUUGCUGGGCGUGAUCUGACGCUGAGGCGCGAAAGCGUGGGGAGCGAACAGGAUUAGAUACCCUGGUAGUCCACGCCGUAAACGAUGGGCACUAGACGCUGGUGGGAUCGACCCCUUCGGUGUCGCAGCUAACGCGAUAAGUGCCCCGCCUGGGGAGUACGGCCGCAAGGCUG
rnacentral:rRNA from 1 species